AAUCAGCUGUUAUUCUGUGUGCUAGUAAUGAAUGAACAGUUUGAAAACUGAAGUUAAGAAACAGUUGCAUUUACAAUGGCAUAUAAUAAUAGUAAAUUUAACCAAGGAGGUGCAUGACUUAUAGUGAAAACUAAAAAACGUUGUUGAUGAAAGUUAAAGAAGACCUAAGUAAAUGGAGAGAAAGUUCAUAUUCAUGUGUUGGAAGACUUAAUAUUGUUAAGAUGGCAUUUGUUACCCAAAGCACUCUACAGAUUUAAUGCAAUCCCUAUUAAAAUCUCAAUGGACAUUUUUAUAUAAACUGACAAGCUGAUACUAAAAUU